GACGAGGGACCUAGCGUUGUUCGGAUUCAUUGGGCGUAAAGGGGUGCGUAGGCGGCGCGGUAAGUCGGGUGUGAAAUCUCGGAGCUUAACUCCGAAACUGCAUUCGAUACUGCCGUGCUUGAGGACUGGAGAGGAGACUGGAAUUUACGGUGUAGCGGUGAAAUGCGUAGAUAUCGUAAGGAAGACCAGUGGCGAAGGCGGGUCUCUGGACAGUUCCUGACGCUGAGGCACGAAGGUCAGGGGAGCAAACGGG
rnacentral:rRNA from 1 species